CCACGGGCCCUUUGACUCGCCGAGCGGCGCAGGAGAGAGCUCCUGCGCAUGUGCGGGCUGCCCUCGCACCGAGGAAGGGCUGUAGGUUCACGGUCAGACCAAGUGGAUUCAAUUGUCUUCACUAGCAUCUCUUUACAUGACUUUUGUUGUGUUGCUCAUCAAAAUAGCCACAAAUUCUAGGUCCACCUACCUUGCUUCAUCUAACCCUUAACUCGUAAUGCCUAAUGCUAUAUUCAUCCUUUGGAACUUGUUUGUCCAGCUAAACAAUCACUAACAGCUUUUCCAGGUCAUUUGGAAUCUUGGCCCUACCCUCCAGAGUGUCUGCUACUCCAUCCAACUUGAUGUUAUCUCCAAAUUUCCUCAGCCUGGACUCAGCCCCAUUGUCCAAAUCAGGGCUGUCCAACUUCAAACCAGCCAUGGACAACAUGCCCCAUGGGCACCCCACCCACAGGCUCAUGUACAGGGGCGGGUGUUCCCCCACCUUAUUCUCCCACUCUGCACUGCACACACAGGCAUGAUAUAGCCACACCCAGACAAUAGUUCACAAUAGUGAUUUGUCAGUUACCUGCCUGAGCAGGAACAGAGUGACAGCAUCUGGUUCAAGCCUGAAAAAGAAUA